UCUCUCUCUUAGAAUUAGGUACAGUCAUCAUUUUUUGGAGCAGUAGCGCCUCGAGCCUCGACGGAGAUGCCCAUUGUCCCAUGUCGGAGCUCCCCCGCUCCUCUCUCUCUCUCUUCCUCCUUCCUGCUCUCGUUUUUCUUGCUCUCUCUCAGAGCUCUCCCUCUUUGUUUUUUCGCAGCUACAGGAGCCAUGGUCGUUGCCGUGGAGCUCUGCCUCCCCCCCCCGAUCUGCUGCCUCACCACCAUGCCGGCGAGCGCAACACAGGAGCGUAGCAGGAACUAAUAGAGCAGGGGUUCGUUUCAUGUACGCAUCGUACCGGAGCUAGCUGCCACAACGAAUGGGUCCGGUACCCCAUGCCCGACCUCCGGCCUCGAUCCCCAUGUCCGGAUCCGUCAAAACCCCGUCCCUCUCAGCUUCUCUUCUACAUGGCCUCCGGCCUCUCUUCUUCCCCAAUAGUUCCGAACCGCUUCGGAGUGUGAGGAUUCGUACGACUACGUCGGUUCGUCUGCUUCACAGAUUCAUUCUUAAUCCAGGCGGGAUCACACGCGAGAUGAACAUUUCCCUAGAUACCAUUACUAUCAUUGACAGGUUAGUUGUCUCGUUUCUUUCAUUAUGUCUCGUUGCCUACCACUUAUUUGUCAGCCACUCACAAAAAUAGAGAGGAGAGGUGGGACAUUUUAUUGGAAUUUUUAAAA